GGCGUUCGAAGAAUUGAGCGUAACUUUUGAAUACGGUGCCCGUUUUGGGCCCAUAAGCACUUUUCUGAAAUGUAGCGACCGUAUUGGAUUGAACUCACCGCUUCGUCGUGAAGCAUGAGGGAUUUUGCCCAUUUUUCAAAAGAAUGAGCACUUGCAUAUUUGGAACGCUUGGAUUGUCGGCGUUCGAAGAAUUGAGCGUAAC
rnacentral:lncRNA from 1 species